CCUACGGGAGGCUGCAGUAGGGAAUAUUGCGCAAUGGGGGAAACCCUGACGCAGCAACGCCGCGUGAGUGAGGAAGGUCUUCGGAUUGUAAAACUCUUUUAUUUGGGAAAAAUGGUCAUGGAGCUAAUACCCCAUGAUUUGAUGGUACCAAAGGAAUAAGGACCGGCUAACUUCGUGCCAGCAGCCGCGGUAAUACGAAGGGUCCAAGCGUUGUUCGGAAUCAUUGGGCGUAAAGCGCGCGCAGGCGGAUUGAUAAGUCAGGUGUGAAAUCUCGG
rnacentral:rRNA from 1 species